UUACGGCCACAUCAUGUUGAAACAUUGGUUCCCAUAAAAUCACUGAAGUUAAGCAACAUUGAGCUUGGUUAGUAUCUAGAUGGGUGACCGCUUGAGAAUACCAGAUGCUGUAAG